rnacentral:lncRNA from 1 species
UAAAUAAAUAUAUAUAUAAUAUAAAUAAAAUGUCUGUUAUAAGUUGGGCGAAGUAAUUUUCGGUCGAAGUCCUAGAGAAGAUAAGUUUUUGAAUUCCUUUUGACGGAAACAGCUUUCAUCCGGAUGCCGUCGAACUGGAACGAAUUAAAUCGUUUCAGAUCCCCAAUUCAGUUUUUCUAAUUUUUUUUUUUUUUAUCAUAUCGAAUAAAGAGAAACGUGCGAAUUUAGGACUUUCGCCAUCUUACUCAUUUUUGUGUGUUUGCGUUUACUGGGUCUAAGAUCGAUUUAAUGUUUUCCUAUCGGUAGUUGGCCAAAACUCGGUCGAAUUUUUGUACAGUAAGUUGUCAUGUCGUCGAUUAGUAAAUGUGCUGCUAUUCUCUUCGCUCUCCAGUGUUUCGGUAAUAAAGGUAAAAGUAUCCGGAGUUGUGCCGUAAAAUCGUCCAUUAUCCGAAAUGAUGAUAAAGUACUCGAAAGAAGCCAGGUAUAUAUAUUUUCUUUAUUUGUAUAUCGUAAUUAAAUUAAGUCGAGAGAAAGAAAGAAAAAAGAUUUUUCGUUGCUUUCCUCGGAGAAUAUUUGCCACCAAUUGUGUCUCAUCGCUUUUUUUAAGCUAAAAUCGAGUAUUUCCGGAAAUGUUUUCGGACUAGAACCCUGUCUAAACUAUCGAUCGAAUUGUCUCCCCGGAUUAUAUAUUCGGCUGAUAUAAUUUAUUGAGCUUCGAUCUUCGUGUUGAGCCAAUAACGCUCACACGUAUUGAGCUCCAAAUCUUGGCUGUGGAGCUCGAGUAGUCGAUAACGACACAAGCUCUCAUCAGUGUAUUAAUGGCCGGUGGUAUCGAUCAUCGAUUGAUUUACGCUUUCUCGGUCUCGUAUCGAGUUCUGACAUUUGCAUAAAAUGGCAGCGCGGUGUAUCGAUUUAUACCGAGAAAUUCGAGAACCUCUCACGUUUUGUUUUGUUUUUUGUUUUGGAUAGACGAGAAAUACAAUUUUCCGUUCGCUUGCUGUAAAAAUGUCGACGAAAGGUUAAAUUACGAAGCAUAAUCAAUUGGCAAAAUGCGGAUAUGGUAAAAAAUAAACUUUUUUUUCGAGUUAAUGCGGUAGAUAAGGCGAAGAGUGGACGGAUUUAUUCGAGAGACGAUAAAAGCGUUAUCUUAGAUGAUUUUAACGAUUGUUUUAUGAAAACGAGGGAUGGGUUUCUGGUAACGCGAUAAAUAUCGAAAUGCGAUCUUUCGAAAACAAUUAAUUGAAAUUUAUUCCGUGCGUUUCGUGUCUGGAGAAAAUUUAUCAUUCCAGUAAAGUUUUCGGAGGAAAAACUGUAACUGGAUUUAUUUUCGAUUCAUUUCUCUGGUUAAAAAAAAAAAGAAAGUGUUAGUUUUCCUGGGUCACGUCUUUUCGUGACAUUUCGGCGAAUGCUAUUCCGUACAACUUACCUGCUCCUCCACCAGAGAAUAUCUGCCAUGGAAUUCCUCCCUUCUCCGUAGCCAUGGUAAUGGAUUUGCCCAGUCCAUUCCAUCUAGAAGGCAGUAACUGGAAGGCUCUUAUUUUCAUCUCGCCAUGGUUUUAUUUAGAUAUUUGUCAUCGGAAUUUUCCGCCCAUUACUUUCGUUUGGAUAUAAACGCGUUUUAUUUUCCAGUUUUUCCGCCAAAAUGAUGUCGAUAAUUGCGGGACCAUCUUAGCUAGUGUCGGGUCGAGUGCUGCUAAGGUCCGACAUUAGUGACGGGUGAACGGGAAUGGAUCUGGAGACCACCCAUUGGACCGAGUUCGGGGGUCGUUCUUUCCACCGUGAUGAAGUACGAAGUGUCCACUUCUAGUCUAGCAUCCGGGCGGUAGGGGGCCGAAAGAGUAUCGAUUACGUCAUUAAACCGGACCGGAUCCACCCACCUCGGCGGGGGUGUCCAACCCCGACCGGAGUGGCGAAUCGGAGCCGUGACGUUCAAAGCACGCGCCGAGCACACGUGCGGCGGCCCCAUUCUAACGUCAGUCGAGUCGGUGGCCACCGAGCGUGGAAGUGUGCCGCAGUCGCUCCUCCUCGCCAUGCGGUUUCUAGCCAGGAUUCGUCUAAGGAUACUGACCAAAGUCUUUCCUUCUUCGUCUUAUCCAUCGGCAGUAAGUUUCUCUCCCGUUUUUUCUUCCCUUUCCCAACUAAUUUAGAGGCCGGAGCCCGUUUACCGCCGGUCAGAAGGUGGCGGAGUGGGCAGAAUGUAAAAAGACUCGGCGUUACGGCCUUUUACGAUUCCCGUGAUGGUUGGAGCGCCUUUAGAUGGACUCUAAUGUGGUUGAGUUUGCACGUGACGGAGAUGGGAACCUGGAGUCUAGGCGGGCAGUUAAAACCCAGGGCCGAGGUUUUGCCCGAUUGGUCGGAAACGACGGAAGGUAAUUAGAUGGUACCCGAGUUAAUUCGGUUUGGAAAGCGAAAGUUGUUUUAGCGCCAGGUUUAUUUACUUUCUUAUCUGCGGUUGACCGGGCGCGCAAUUUGAUACCAAAAGACUUCCACUCGACCGCCAUUUAUAGAGAUGCCUUUAGCUCUAGUAGCUGGAAGGAAAUAUCGAACGGGCUUGAUAAAAAGUUUGGGAGUAGGGUUGCGGUCCAAUAAAAGGUACCAGUUUUUCCGUGAGAAAUAUGAAUCGUCCAAAGGUGAAUAGUAUUAGCGGCACCAGUUUUGCGGUAUAGAAAGGAAUUCGAUUCGAGUCCAUCUGGGUGAUCGACGAUCUCGAGUUGCCUGACAUCUUAAGGCUUUAUUGAAUAAAUGCUAUAUCUCACUUUUCGCUGCCAGAUUUUAGCAUUCCUCUCUCAUUCGCUAUCCGUCUUUUUCACGCUCAUUUAUUGUUUCCUGCCAGCGCACCGUGUUGAUUUUAAAAGGCGCGGAAUUGACCGUUUUGUCGCCUUCGAUUGAUGAUCGAGAUGCCUCGACAUUCAAUCGUCAGUCGUUAUCGAGUUCCACUCUAGAAUUCUCAUUAUUUCCAGUUUUUUCGUCCCUCCGUUUCUUUUUUACUUCCAAAUUCCAUUUCCUUCAAUCUGCGGAAGAGGCUAGCAAAUCCGACAGAAAUGACACAGGAAAGAAUAGUAUCGACUGAGUCUAGUACAGUCAUUGUAGUUUCAUUUGUGUUAUCGAAGCUUGGCCUGAUCCUGCCUGAUCGUUUCAGAUCCUUUCCGCUUCUCUACGUAUGGAAUGGCUCUAUUCAAGAAUGUAGUCCGGUCUCGUCCUCAGUUUUAUUCCACCUAACAAAAUGCUCCUCUUUUAAUUGGAUUCGAUGGCAGAAUCCUCCCCUUUCCUAAUUGCGAACCGACUGUCUCUCUAAAUCGUUCUCCGCUCCACCUUUUUAUCUUAACAUAUCGCGUGUUAUGCCACUGGUUUUAAUUUAAUCUCGUCCCCCGAGAGUAAUUUUUCCUACCAACGAAGUGGCGAAAGAUUUUGAUGACUAAGAAAUUAGUUGGAAACACCAGAAAAUACAACGUAAAAUUGUUAUUUUUUUCCUACCCUCCUCUUCCUCCAUCGAAAGGAAAUGCCUUUUUUCGGGGACUAUAUUAUUGUUAUUAUUAUUAUUAUUAUGACUAUUUUGGUGGUUUCUUCCGAUCGAUUUACUUUUAAAGGUAAAAGCCGAGCGUGUGACGCCAGCCAGGAUCUUUCUCGCCUUCUUGUUUCUGGUGCAAAUGUGUCGUUAGAUAAGUAUAGAGUGUGUAUGUGUGUAUUGUAUGUCCAAAGAAAUAGAUGGUUCUACUGGGAAAAUUGCAUUUUUGAUGCGCGAUUGUUUGAUUUUUCAAUGCAUCGAAUCAUUUUUCUUUCUUUUUUUAUUUCAGAGCAACGACAGUUGGCAAGCUCAGGAUAGUGACCAGG